rnacentral:rRNA from 1 species
AAUCCCGUGAACCAUCGAGUCUUUGAACGCAAGUUGCGCCCGAAGCCAUCAGGCCGAGGGCACGCCUGCCUGGGCGUCACGCAUCGCGUCGAACCCCCUCCACCAGGAUGGGGGUACGGAUAUUGGCCUCCCGUGAGCAGUCAGCAUGCGGCCGGCCC